UAUCAUCUAGUGAUGAGAUUAUUUUUUAAUUCAUAUUAAUAAUGUUGAAAUCUUAACAUGCAUCACCAUCUGAAACUUUAG